CUCUGGAUCUUGGUAGAGAAGCUGCUGGCUUAUAUAAACUGGCUUGGGUUCCUCCUUCCCUUUCUUCCUCUAUUAGUUGUUCAUCUAAUUCUGCAUGUUCUGUGUCUGCUUCUCGUAAUGAUGACUUUUUUGUCUGAUAACAAGGUUGUUCCCUUGCCCUCAAAUGUACAUAGUUCCAUCUGUAAUAAUGUUGUUACAACUGACAUGAA
rnacentral:lncRNA from 1 species